UACAGAGGGUGCGAGCGUUGUCCGGAAUCACUGGGCGUAAAGGGCGCGUAGGUGGCGACCCAAGUCAAUGGUGAAAGCUCGCCGCUUAACGGCGAGUCGGCCACUGAUACUGGGUUGCUCGAGCACUGUAGAGGCUAAUGGAAUUCCGGGUGUAGCGGUGGAAUGCGUAGAGAUCCGGAAGAACACCGGUGGCGAAGGCGGUUAGCUGGGCAGUUGCUGACACUGAGGCGCGACGGCGUGGGGAGCAAACAGG
rnacentral:rRNA from 1 species